rnacentral:lncRNA from 1 species
AUGGCAGGGCCUCUGCUUGCUGGCAGAGGAGACUGGAGAAGCAAGCCUGACCAAGGAGAGAGCAGGCUGCUGGAGCCGAGCAGGAGGUGCAGAGUCAUCGGAGCUCUUCAGGGUGGUAAAAGGGGUGAAGAAAAUGCACUCUCAUACAGGCAGACCUCCUUCACACUUUCCCACCUCCCUCAGACCUCCUUCACACUUCCCCACCUCCUUCUCCCACUGAGAAGAGAGCGAGCGAGCCCCAAGCUUUGGCUGUAUCCAGGAGAAUGGGAAGUCUGGUAGACAUCCACUAAGAUGGGAGACCUCAAGGACUUAGGGAUGCCAUGGACUCCUUCCAAAGGAAAGGAAAGCCAAUGCAUGUUCCCCCAGGGAAUCUCGUGCUUUGCAUCCAGAUGUGGUCUCUGGAGCAGUUCUCCAAGAAGUAUCAUGGAUGCUUGGAGGGAACUGGGUCAUAGGUUUCUUACUGAGGAUUGAAGGAAGCCUCACUCAUUGGUUUUCUCCUUUUUUUUCUUUUGUCCAUUCCUUUUCUUUUAAUGUUCAUCUUCCUUCUUUGGGUAUAAUAUGUUCAUUUCAGCAAUACAGAAAUUGGACUCAUGAUUUCAAAAACCAUUUUUUUUUUUUUUUCCAAAAGUUGCUUUUAGUUCAGAGGUAGAAUGAAAAUUAAACCUUCUGAAACUCCCCACAAGAAAAUAUUAUUUUCCUCUGCUCAGUCCUGUGACAAUUCUUGGUUUGGGAACAGUUUGAGGGAAGACUUGAUAGGAUCCAAAACCCUUUCUGCUUCAGACACAUGCAGUGGCUCCUGAAGGCUGAUCUGGCUCUGACUCCAUGUGAAAUUCAGGAACACCAUGAUGCUGUAAUUUCUGGCCCUGGGAGGCCCAGAACCCUGCCAAGCUAACAGAUGAGGACAGUGGGCAAGAGUUGAACCCUGCAUGGCAAGUGCAGCUCCAUCAGGAGCAUGGCCUGACGCUGGUGAAGUCCUCCUGAAACUCAGCUGCCUCCAUGGAACACUUUUAUAUAGGUGACUCAGCAACGUCAGGGGCAAUAGAUGUUUUGUCAUGAUCAGAUAUUAAAUAAUUUCUCAUUUGCACAAGACUGGAGGCAGUUAAAACCCUGCACACAGUAAAGGACUUGCUUUCUGUACUACUUGGUAGCAAUUCUAUGCACUGAGCAUAGAUCCCCAGGCUCUAGGAGGGUGGCAGGUCCCCAGGGGGAUUGCUGCAGGUGGGUUAUGCAAAAAAGGCCUCAUGCAUUAUUUCAGACCAUGGUUGUCCUCAGAGAGUUGAUGGCAAGGAAGUAAGAUCUGUUGCCGUUGUAGUUUGAAGCCAGUAUUUACUCAAACCUGGUGCAAAGUCUGUUAGUUAGGCUGAGGAUGUAUGACCUCGGUGGCUUUCACUAAGGUAAAGGUUUUCUUUUUCUUAGGUAAUUCCUGUAUCUCUUUUAAAAGAUCAUUGACAGAAAUGAAUACCCACCUGUUAAAAGAAACAUAAUGUUUAACCAGCAGAAAAAUAAAGGUGGAACCCUCCAUUCCUUUUUGUAAAGA